CCAGUACCGUGAGGGAAAGGCGAAAAGAACCCCGGCGAGGGGAGUGAAAAAGAACCUGAAACCGUGUACGUACAAGCAGUGGGAGCACGCUUAGGCGUGUGACUGCGUACCUUUUGUAUAAUGGGUCAGCGACUUAUAUUCUGUAGCAAGGUUAACCGAAUAGGGGAGCCGAAGGGAAACCGAGUCUUAACUGGGCGUUAAGUUGCAGGGUAUAGACCCGAAACCCGGUGAUCUAGCCAUGGGCAGGUUGAAGGUUGGGUAACACUAACUGGAGGACCGAACCGACUAAUGUUGAAAAAUUAGCGGAUGACUUGUGGCUGGGGGUGAAAGGCCAAUCAAACCGGGAGAUAGCUGGUUCUCCCCGAAAGCUAUUUAGGUAGCGCCUCGUGAAUUCAUCUCCGGGGGUAGAGCACUGUUUCGGCAAGGGGGUCAUCCCGACUUACCAACCCGAUGCAAACUGCGAAUACCGGAGAAUGUUAUCACGGGAGACACACGGCGGGUGCUAA
rnacentral:rRNA from 1 species